rnacentral:rRNA from 1 species
GAUGAACGCUGGCGGCGUGCCUAAUACAUGCAAGUCGAGCGAACGGACGAGAAGCUUGCUUUUCUGAUGUUAGCGGCGGACGGGUGAGUAACACGUGGAUAACCUACCUAUAAGACUGGGAUAACUUCGGGAAACCGGAGCUAAUACCGGAUAAUAUUUUGAACCGCAUGGUUCAAAAGUGAAAGACGGUCUUGCUGUCACUUAUAGAUGGAUCCGCGCUGCAUUAGCUAGUUGGUAAGGUAACGGCUUACCAAGGCAACGAUGCAUAGCCGACCUGAGAGGGUGAUCGGCCACACUGGAACUGAGACACGGUCCAGACUCCGACGGGAGGCAGCAGUAGGGAAUCUUCCGCAAUGGGCGAAAGCCUGACGGAGCAACGCCGCGUGAGUGAUGAAGGUCUUCGGAUCGUAAAACUCUGUUAUUAGGGAAGAACAUAUGUAUAAGUAACUGUGCACAUCUUGACGGUACCUAAUCAGAAAGCCACGGCUAACUACGUG